GUGCUCACUUCAGCAGCACAUAUACUAAAACUCGAAUGAUACAGAGAAGUUUAGCAUGGCUCCUGCAUAAGAAUAACAUGCAAAUUUGUGAAGUGUUCCAUAUUUGU